UACGUAGGUGGCAAGCGUUACUCGGAAUCACUAGGCGUAAAGCGCAGGUAGGCGGUUUGGUAAGUCUAUUGUGAAAGCUCCCGGCUUAACUGGGAGAGGUCAAUGGAAACUACCAGGCUGGAGUGCGGUAGAGGUAGCUGGAAUUCCCGGUGUAGCGGUGAAAUGCGUAGAUAUCGGGAGGAAUACCUAUGGCGAAAGCAGGCUACUGGACCGUCACUGACUCUGAUCUGCGAAAGCUAGGGGAGCAAACAGG
rnacentral:rRNA from 1 species